ACAGAACCAUGUCAAGUGUUGAGUCCUCUAUUCCAACAGACCGUGUCAAGUGUUGGAGUGACAGGAAAUAGAUGUGGCAACCAGUCUUCAUAGAAUAGGUCAUCUUAUUCCAGUUGAAUGCUAAAAUCCUCCUCUGCCCUUUGUUGAGUGUUCAUUUGACUCACAGAGAUCUGCUCAUUCAGAGCAGUGAGCCCACAUACCGCUUUCCCAGAUUUCCUUGUCACCGGUCUUCUGAGUUCCUGAUAAUCAAGCCAAGCUGUUGGCCAUAGUCCACGAGUCAGUAUAUAUUCCCAGGAUGGGCCUUUUAUGCUUCUGAGCAAAGCAAACACACGAUAUAUCAAAGUUCUGCCCACGGAGAGGACUUCCCUCAACCGCUGUCCAGGGGUGUCAGGAAGGGGCUGUCCUGCAGCAGAUGUCCACUUUGAGGUGGUGCCUGCAUGUUGGGCAGAACCUCUGUAAAGCAAGUUUGAGUCUUCUAUUUCUCUGUCAACUGACACUAGAGAACUCCUUAUGGGGACAUAGGUGCAGGCUAUUAGAAGGUGGUGUAGCUGGAGUUGGGGACCAUGGAUACUGGACCACUUCCUCACAUAACAUGGACAUACUUUCAGGGCCUGAUAGGGCCAGUUCCACUGGCCCAAAGAACAGAGAAACUUGCACAGCAGUCUGGACCUGUUGCAAAGCCUUCUUUUUUCUGGGUCCCACUUGAAAUCAGAAGCUUUCCAGGUCACUCACAAAAUGGACCAGAAUAAAACACCAAAAAACGGUAUAUGAUACCUCCAAAAUUCAAAGUCCACAGGGUAUUGAGUCACUUUUUUAGCUGUAGGAGAGGUGGAAGCAGCAUCACCUCAUAAGGGUUAUUUAGACAUGUCUGACACAGCUGAACCCCUAGAAAUUACACUGAGGUAAAAGGUCCCUGAAUUUUGGGGGGAUUUAUUUCCCACCUUCUGACAUGUUUAUGUCUUACAGUAAAUCUAGGCUAGUUUCUACUUCUUGUUCACUGGUUACAGUCAGCACAAUGCAUCACUGUAAUAGACCAGUGGUAUCUUAUAGAAGGGACAGUUGAUCAAGAUCCCUGCAAAAUAAAUUAUAACAUAGAACUGGAGGGUUGGUUUUCUGUGAGGUAGAACUGUGAAGGUGGAUUGCUAGACUUAGGUAGAAGUAAACAGAGGACAUUUUAAUUUGCUUAGUGAAACCAUAUCUGAUACAGCAGCUUCAGUUAGAGGCACCAUAUAGCUUAUGACAAUCAACUGUCUUUCUCCAAGAUCCAUCUGUUUUCUGCACUAGCCAAAUAGGGUAUGAUGAGAAUCCCUGCUUCUUUCCAAUCCUUGAUGAUGCACUAAAUCUCAGAAAUUCUUACGGGAAAGCAGAAUGAAUUUUGGUUUACUCUUUUCCCAGUUAGAAGCACUUCUAGUGGUUUCAGCCUGGGCUAUAUCACCAUAGAAACCCUGCACAGGUCAGGGAACUGACUUGGGGAUUCUGCCAGCUCCUCAGUAUAUUGGUUCCAAUUACACAUUCUGGAACUGGGAAAUCAUGAUAGGGUGGAUUUGGGGAAUCACUGGGGCCACCAUGAACUAGACCUGAGCUAUAACCCCAUGGAUCAUUGGACCUCCAUAAGCCUUUACUCUGACUAAUGUGUUUUAGUUCUCCUAGAGUAAGUGCCAGUUCAGAGCCAGUCUUUAGUUGUCCCUAAAAGGUAUGGUUAGAUCUUUUUCCCUAGUUCAUAAUUACCUUCAUUAAAGGUACCUACUUUUGGAGAAAAUGUGAGAAAGUUUAACAGCACAUUUUCCCCCCAGUAUUCUGUGGUCCUACCUCAAGGACACCUAGUCUUCUCUUUAUUCAAGGGGUUCUGGGUCUAUAAACUGGCUCAAACAUGAAAAUUGAUUGAGAGGCUGUGAAUGAUUCAGUUUAAACUUUUAUUUACUUGAAUUUGCUUUAGAUGAAGCAAGAGUUUAGUAAGCGUCCUGACUGUUUCACUUCUAGGAACAUCAAAAUCAAGUAGCCAACACCAUAGGUCUCCAUGAGUCAGAAUGUUCCGAUUGCUAUGUUGAUUGUGUCUCCACUACAGAAGCCAUGCCCACUCUGCUUUGGUGCUGCCACUUGGCUACUGACAUCCUGGGAUCCAGUCAUUCUCAUUGCUUAGGUUUUCCAAUAUGAUGCCUGCAUUCUCUACUGUAAGGCCUGGCAGAGAAGAAGAAUCUACAGAACUCCCCACAAAUAUAUUUCCCAAAGUAGUGGUAAAAGGCAUGUUUUCUGUACCCUUCCUGUAUGGGAGAUUAGAUCUAACACUCCAAUCUCCAUAGGACUUUGAAUUCUUUCUUCUACAGUAAAAGAAACCAGAUCUGACCUUUCCAGCUCAUUCAUUGUGGGCCACCUCUUCAGUCAUGUUUCAGUCAACCAAAUAAAUAAGCAGUUAGGAAUCUCUUUCUGACUCCCAAGCUACAUCAUGAACUGUAGAAUCCCUGUUCAGUGAACCUCUCUCAAUAAAUUCAGCCUAGUCCAAAUUUAUGUUUCUUCUACCAUUAUCCCAUAACCUUAAUAUCCAUCCCCACACAUGUCCUGAAGAUAUCUGUCUGUAUAUUCAGAAAAUUCAAGUAAUUCCUGUGGAGUAUAGUACACAUCCUCCUAGGUCAUACUUUUUACUUUGCCUGUAGGGACCUCCUGGGGCUUGAAGGUAGUUAUAAUUCUUGAAGCAAUGGAUGGCUGGAGAGGGUAGAUCCUCAGGAGGUUCAGCAUUAUCUUGAUGGCAACUUCCUGAAUCUUCCCAGGCAAUACUCCCAUAUGGAGGCAGAGUGAUUUCUCCCAUUUGGAGCAGUGAGUACUCUUCUACUAGAAAAAAAAAACUAAUCAGAAUUUAGGGCUUGGGCUGGAGUGGUAAAACUCUUGCCUCACACAUAUGAGGCACUGGGUUUGAUCCUCAGCACCACAUUAAAAAAAUAAAUGAAUAAAUAAAGAUAUUUAAAAAAGGAAUUUAGGAGCUCAAUGUCUCCAACUUCACCAGGGCCUCUCUAUACAUCAUGUCUUCAUUACAAUAUUCAGUAGUCCUUCCUUCCCAAUCAAUGUCCUCACUGUGACGGGCUGACAGAUUUGGCUUAUAGAAAUGUUAUAGGCCAGCUAUAUGGGCAAUGACUAAACAGAUUCCAUUUUGCUCUGAGACUCCAUGUUAUGUAGGAAAUGAGCUUCUCCCAUUGGAACGCCCUACCUCUGUACCCAUCAACAAUUGCUUAGCUUCUCCCAUAGGAACACCCCGCCUCUCUACUCAUCAUUGGUUAUUUAGUGUGACAUGUUUAGCAAUACAAAAUGACAAUUCUCAUAUGAUGAAAAAUUGUUCCCUUUUGAUUCCUGUUUCUCCUAAACAAUGCACCAUGUGAAUGGUCAACAAUGAUUGUGUGGAUGUUAAUAACCAUUCUUUAGUUGGUUCCUAGGUAGGGUCAUUUUGACCUACUUCCCCCUCUGCUGAUGAUUUCACGAUGUUAGUUUGUGAUUUUGAAUCACAGAAACAGACACUUAAGAUUGAUAUGAUUUUUGGUAUAAGAACUCCUGCAACCCUGUGGUCGAGGCUGUUCUCCCAAUAGUCGUUUUUGGGGCAUUGUGUGAGACAGCUGGCUGGCUUAAUGAAGACUCUCAAAUCUGGACUUCUCAGUGGUGAUCGGUCUGUUCUUAAAUUGCACCCCAUACCACUCACUGUACCAGUAAAUACAUUACAAGACUAAGGGAUCAUCUUACAUUGAAAUUCAGUCAGCCACAGGAUGAGAUUCUGGGUUUUAUUUUCAGUAAUCUCAGACUUACAGCUACUGGAGAUAAGGGUCUCCUUCAGUGCACACAGAAACUUCCAGAUCAUUUAUGCAGCAUUUGAGCUGAGAAUAUGUUUCCCUGAGCUCACUUUCUUCUUUCUCUAACUUGUCCAGUGACAUUAAGAAGAACCAGUCAAUCUCAUUAUAUUCAAUAGUUUACCAAAAAUAUUUGAAAGUAUCAUCCUUUCUACCUUAAGUUGAUUAGGAUUAUCCAAGGGUAACAUUUUGCAUAUUUUGUUCUAGAACAUACUGUGGACUAUUAGUGCUCUUUACUACCAGAAAUAAAACCAAUUGAAUACUAAAUUCUAAUGAAAUUAGAGAGUCAUUCCAGAAACCUCAGAAUGAAUUCAGAAAAAUUUUAAAAUUUUGUUCCUUUAGAACCACUCAUAUUACCAAAUCUGCAGUACUAAUCUGUAUUAGUCAUGCAAUUCCAAAGAAAUAAACGAAGAGGUUAGAUACAGAGAGACAGAUGGAAGACAGAUAGAUAAAUAGGCAGAUUUAUUUUAAGAAAUUGACACACAUGGAUUAUGGAGACUGAAUUCCAAGAUGAGAGGCUGGUAAGAUGGAGACCCUGGAGAACCAAUGAUGUAGUUCUAGCCCAAGUUUGAGGGUCUGAGAAGCAGGGUAGCUGGUGAUAAAAAGUUCCAGUCCCAGUCUGAGUCCACAGGCAGGGGAGGACUCGUGUCUCAGAUCAAAGACUCAGGCAGAGAGACAAAAUUCUUUCUUAGUCUUAAAAAUGAAUAUGCAUACAUAUGUUUAUAAUAUAAUUAUAUAUUAUAAUUCACUGCCAGAAUAACAUUUUAAAGGAAAAUAGUGUACAGCUGUUGGUUAUUUACCUUGAAUACAUUUUGCAUCGUAUUGAUUACAUUAUAUAGUCCAUAACUAAAGAAUCAAAUUAUCAAUAUUCUUAAAUAGGUAACCAAGCAUCCAUAAGAUUUAGGGAACGUUUAGAUGAUAUACAUGAUUAAUGACAGAAACCUUAAGCCCUCCUGUUGUAAAUUUUAUGCUAUCUUUUUUUUUUGUUCUUUUUAGAUAUAGAUGAUAAUAGAGUGUAUUUUGAUGCAUUAUACAUGCAUGGAUUAUAUCUUAUUCUAAUUAGGAUCCCAGUCUAGUGGUUGUACAUGAUAUGGAGUUUCACUGGUCAUGUAUUCAUACAUAAACAUAGGAAAGUUAAGUCAGAUUCAUUCCAUUGUCUUUCCUAUUCCUAUCCCCCACUUCCCUUCUUUCUCAUUUGUCUGAUCCACCAAACUUCUAUUCUUCCUCCCUCCCUUGUUGUGUGUUAGCAUAACACAUAUCAGAGAGAAUAUUCAACACAUGCAAAUAGUGCUUAACAAAUAAAUGGGUACCCAUAGCCCAGUCAAGUUCACACAUAAAAUCAACCAUCUCAAAGAACGUGAAACCUUCAUGCACUGGGGGAAUUCACGCCUUUUGAGGAGGACGUUGAACUUCCUUCACACAUGGAAUUGGAUUUUGAUUCAACCUUAUUCUACUUUCAUGGGGGAAGGGAAAUGCUUCACCUAACAGUUUCAAUAAUUUGUUAUAAUCAUGAUGAAAAUGUGUGCAUCUUCUGUGGACAAGCAGAAACAAUGGAUAAACCAAAAGCAUACCAGAAAUUCAUAAAAAUAUCAGCUAUAUAUCGACAAUCUUCAUGAUAAACUUGGACAUUUUUAAAAGAAAGACAUUUUUUGAAUAACCCUGAGGACCAUAAUAAACCAUCUUGGUUCUUUUGUUUGUCAAAGUUUCCAAUAUCUGAGACUAUUAUUCAAAGUCUGAGGUUCAUGGACCCUGUUGGUGAGGAAAUGUGCAUUAUCUACAUAAAAGUAAAAUUUUAGUUUGAAUUUAGAUGCCCGCUUACAAAUGGAAAUUUGUAAUUACAAAUACAAAUAAUUACAAAUUUAUAAUUACAAAUACAAAUUUGAAAUUACAAAUACAAAUUUAAGAAUGAAUUCUUGCCAACAAAUCCUUUACACAAAUGUAUUAUAAUCAAUUUAACAUAAGAUAUACAAGACACAUGUAACAUCUAGUCUUUUUUUGUGUGUGUGUGGGUACCAGGGAAUGAACCCAGGGGUGCUUAACCUUUGAGCCAUAUCCCCAGCCCUUUUUACAUUUUAUUUUGAGACAGGGUUUCACUAGGCUGCUUAGGGCCUCGCUAAGUUGCUGAGGCUGGCUUUCAACUUGCCAUCCUCCUGCCUCAGCCUCCUGAGUCACUGGGGUUGCAGGCAGGUGCCACCGUGCCUGGAUACAUUUCUGCUUUAGAAAACAAUUUGGUUAAAUUUUUGUCUACCAUAUUUGCCAAAUGAAUGGCAAACUGAAGAUAAUAAAAUUAUUGUUUACAAUCUGGUCCUAGUAUCAAAAUCAGUUUGGAGGGUAUUUUCCUGUGAAAUAAAUAGAUAUGCACACACAAUUUUUAACAUUUAACAUUUAACUUGAAAGUCGAGUAUUGUAAGAACCAUAGUUUAAGAUAGUUUGAAGGCAUUACAUUGUCAAAAUAUGUAUUUGUUGUCAAUACUUAGUUGAUGUUAACAUUUUUCAUUAUGGUGUUGUGACAUUGAAGAGGAACUGGAAAAGAUCAACACCCCAAGAUUCUUAUUUGAGCUCCAAAUUAGUGAAAAUUCAGUACAUUCCACAGCCUUCAUUAUGGUUAGAUAUGCAGUGUCCCCCAAAAGCUCAUGUGUGAGACAAUACAGGAAGGAAAUGAUUGGGUUAUGAGACCCUUAACCUAAUCAACACUGUAAUCCCCUUGUAGGAUUAACUGGGUGGUAACUGCCAGCAGGUAGGGUGUGCCUGGAGGAGGUGGGUUCCUAGGAGUGUGACUUUGGGGCAUGUAUUUUGUCCUGUUGAGCAGGGCUCUCUCUCUUCUUCUAUGUUGUGAUAUCCUGAGUUGUUUUCCUCUGCUACACCCUUCUGCCAUGAUGUUCUGCCUCAUCUCAGGCCCCGAGCAAUGAAGCCAGCUGUCUUUGGACUGAGACCUCUGAAACGAAUCCAAUCAAAGAGUUCUUCUGAACAGAAAGAGAGAUGCAGGGGAGGAAAUGGUGGAUAAGCUUAUAGCGCAAACACUGAAGGAGAUGGAAAAUGAAAAAGAGUUCUCCUCUGAGACGAAGAGGGAUGGAAAAACAUCUGUGGGCUGCGGGGUGGGAGGCAGAGCCUUUCCCUCUGCUUCAUUCUGUUAGCUCAGCGUCCACAGAGCGCUUAGCACAGGACACUGGAAACUUCCACAGGACCUUUGGCCUUCCUGGCCUCUGACUGUGGGACCGGGAGUAAAGAGUGAAAAUGUGACCCUCCUGCUCUUGGUUCCAUCUUUUGUACAUGAGAGUCCUAUCCCUGCACCUCAGAUGGAGGGGCCGGGGUGCUGUGUGGACACCUGGUCUGGAGGAUCCAAGGCACUGCUUAUGCUUGGCCCAGCCCCUCCUUUCAACUGGGGACGCUGCAACUGGGUUAACUGGUGUGAAGUGACAGAGCUGGAAGAUGAAGUGGACACCAAGAUCCAGGCUGUCCUCAUGGUGGAAAGGUGAGCCGGGAAGCAUACUGAACAAACUACGAGGAGAGUGAUCAACCCUGUGGCGAAGAGCAGAGCCGCAGCUCAGGAGGCGACAGACAGCAAAGAAGGGAACUUCAGCUCCUGGACUUCAGAUUUGUUGCAGCAAUCAGAAAGACUUCCUGUGAGGCCCGUCUUCUCCCCUGAAACCUACACCCCCACACUUUUUUUUUGUGGUACGGGGAAUUGAACCCAGGGAUGCUCUACCACUGAGUCACACCCUCAACCCUUUUGAAAUUUUAUUUUGAGACAGGGUCUUGCUAAGUUGCUGAGGCUGCCCUUGGAUUUGUGAUCCUUCUGCCUCAGCCUCCUGGUAGCUAGGCAAUUGCACUCUCAGCUCCUUCUUCUGUUUUGUUUUGUUUAAGCUGGUUUGAAUGGGUGGCAGCUGUCUCUUGCAAUGAAUAAUCCUAAAAUAAAGGAAAGGAAAGGAUGAAAAUGUACUACAUAAUACAUUUAUUGUAUGACUUCCUUUUCAUGUUAUGUUUAAAUACUUUUUAUGUCAAUGCUUAUCCACCAUGUUACAAUUGGAACAAUCACAUUGAAAUUAUGAAAUUUUUGAGUUACCAAUAAUAAACU